UCUGAUGGAGUAGGCUGCAAUGAACCAACGCAUUUGUAGACCAACAGAUGCCGUCAGGUUUUCUGUUAGAUUGACCCCGUCAACUCACAUAGGACAGGAAAGAUGAAACUGUUAUUCCUGUUGUUACCAGAGGGUCUUUUAAGGAAGAAGGAUUAAGGCAUGCAUCGAGGAAGAGAGCGGGUUUUCAUCGGACUUGGCUACUAUAGCCGAGCGCUUCGCUUCUUCCUCUACCUAUCCAACAAUAAUUCAAUUCAAUUCAAAUGCAAAUGGGUUGUACGUUGUUGGGUGCUAAUCACUCUCUCAAUCCAAAACCCAGUCAAGUCUGCCUCUCUCUCAUACGACCUCCGCGUGCGUCUCCAAUACUGCUCCUCUCUCUCAAUCAAAACUCUCUUCUUUUUAGUCUGGGUUGUUACAAAAUCCGAAAACAUUAGAAUUACGUAUACGUGGUGCCUGAGUUCUCCGACGACGAUAAUCAAAUACUGCAACACUCUGCACGAGAAACUUUCAGGUUUGCUCAUAUGCUUGAUUUUGCAAAGAGGAUAUCUUGGUUUCAUAUUAUUUAUAUUGGGAUACUGGUAAUGAUUUUUGAUACUUCUGCUCACAUUCGAAUUCUAGUGUUCUUAGCUGAAGUGUUAGGAUUAUAUUUGUUUUGUUGAGAGGUCAUGAUUUGGACUCCAAAUCAGUUCAAACUUGAAAAAAAUGAUGGAUGAUACUGAAUGUUUUUCAUUUGUUGGCAGGAUGGUAGUUUUAGGUUAAUCUAGAACUUUGAUUGCAUGGACUUCUUAUAAUAAGUUUCAAGUUAUUCAGUAGCAAGCAGCUUUGGAGGACAGUAAAAAUAAGGUCAACUUACGUUUUACAGCCUUGGAGGCUUGGAUUGGAGCAUUAGAAUUUGAGAUUGUUGAUAAAGCUUUUCUGAAGCAGCUCAAACUGUUCCAGAGUUAAUUUUUUCAACUUAGCUUCCAUUUUGUUAUUAAGAUUUGGUUGUAUUCAAUUUAAUUGUGAUUUGUAUUCUUAUGGAUUUUGUGGCAAUUUUGGUUGAAAGAACAGGGAAUGGUAAGAGACUUGGAAAGGGAGGAUUUCAUACAUGAAAGCUUUGGAAAUGUUAUCCCUCAAGCAUAUUACUGAGAGCCAGAACCAGGUUGUGAUUACCGAUAGGAUCUGGGCCACAACUCCUUUCUUCAACCAACCAACCGAGCUUCUUGAACCCCAAAGAUGUUGAUGAAGUCCAAAAAGAGGAAGAGCCUCCAACUCAACUGCUAGACAGGGAAAAUUGUAAAGCUAGCAAGUACUGAAGACAUUCCUGGCAUGAUAUGAAAACACAAGACUGUUUUAUUCGAAACCUUCUGUUAGAAUCACUAGUAUUCAGAUCUUUGGUUGAUGCCCUACUGCCCCAGAAUGUUGAUGGGAAUUCACAUUUUUGACUGCUAGUAGCAUCUGUGGAGCAUAAUUGUUUGUUGUUGUAUCAGAUGAAUUCAAUUCACCAUGCCCUAUCGAAGAGAUUUCCGCUUAAAAUGUUCAUUUGAUAUAAGCAAUACUAGCAUUUCUGGAAUGGGAUUAGCAGUCUAAUUAAGCUCCAUCCUGUACGAGUUUGUAAUUACUUAGGUCAUUGCAUAUUUUUGACAAGUGCUGCUACUGGCCGUUUGUUCUGUUGGAUAGUUUUGGGUGCUUAGCAGUAGAUAGUAGUUUGGAUGUUUAACAGGAGCUGCUAUGCCAUCUGUUCUGUUUCAUUUUUAUGCUUUCGUCUUAAAAUUGAGUCGAGUAUAUUCAUCCUUUACACAUUUCCUGCAAUGCGGUAACGCAAUUAUUUCAUUGUAUCUGCACAGCCAUACCAAACAGUCAUAGUGGCAUGGUCAUUCAUUGUUUUGCGAUAUAUCAUGUGUAGGGUUUGUUUGUGAGUUUCUAACCGUAUUUGUUCAUUUCAAGGUCUCUAAUACAUCAUGUACCUUGCGGACUAACUACUUCGUAUGUAUUAUGAGUUAUAUGUCAUGAAUGAUUCAUUCUACUGUGCGCUA